rnacentral:lncRNA from 1 species
GCCACUACUCUGCGAUACGGCUGGAGCUGCUGGCUGUACUACACUGCCUGAACUCAUCUGCUGGGAUGGUGCAAAAGUCACCUGAGGACAAUCCCGAGCAAAAUGCCCUUCUUGUCCACACCUAAAACAGGCUGAAGAUCCCAACUGACAAGCUCCCUUGUGUGGUCUCCCACAUCUUCUACAUACUGGACUGCUUACGCCAGAGCUUGAGCCACUACCCAUUCCCAGACC